UGAUGACAAUUUCUCCGGAAUCUCUGCACUUCAUUGAUGAUUCCAUUGAACCCCUUUUCUGAUGACUGCUGUGCUUAAAU
ensembl:snoRNA small nucleolar RNA MBII-202